GGCCCGAAGCUUGCUUCGGUACUCGAGUGGCGAACGGGUGAGUAACACGUGGGUGAUCUGCCCUGUACUUCGGGAUAAGCUUGGGAAACUGGGUCUAAUACCGGAUAUGACAAUCUCUUGGAUGGGGUUGUGGAAAGCUUUUGCGGUAUGGGAUGAGCUCGCGGCCUAUCAGCUUGUUGGUGGGGUAAUGGCCUACCAAGGCGUCGACGGGUAGCCGGCCUGAGAGGGUGUACGGCCACAUUGGGACUGAGAUACGGCCCAGACUCCUACGGGAGGCAGCAGUGGGGAAUAUUGCACAAUGGGCGCAAGCCUGAUGCAGCGACGCCGCGUGGGGGAUGACGGCCUUCGGGUUGUAAACUCCUUUCGCAACCGACGAAGCUUUUGUGACGGUAGGUUGAGAAGAAGCACCGGCUAACUACGUGCCAGCAGCCGCGGUAAUACGUAGGGUGCGAGCGUUGUCCGGAAUUACUGGGCGUAAAGAGCUCGUAGGUGGUUUGUCGCGUCGUUUGUGGAAUACCGCAGCUUAACUGCGGGGUUGCAGGCGAUACGGGCAUAACUUGAGUGCUGUAGGGGAGACUGGAAUUCCUGGUGUAGCGGUGGAAUGCGCAGAUAUCAGGAGGAACACCGAUGGCGAAGGCAGGUCUCUGGGCAGUAACUGACGCUGAGGAGCGAAAGCAUGGGGAGCGAACAGGAUUAGAUACCCUGGUAGUCCAUGCCGUAAACGGUGGGCGCUAGGUGUGAGUCCCUUCCACGGGGUUCGUGCCGUAGCUAACGCAUUAAGCGCCCCGCCUGGGGAGUACGGCCGCAAGGCUAAAACUCAAAGGAAUUGACGGGGGCCCGCACAAGCGGCGGA
rnacentral:rRNA from 1 species